ensembl:lncRNA
UGGAUAUCAGGAAACACUUAUUUACAGAAAGGGUUGUUAAGCACUGGAAUAGGCUCCCCAGGAGGUGGUUGAGUCACCAUCCCUGGCUGUGUUUAAAAACCGUUUGAGGUGGUGCUCAGGGACAUGAUUUAGCAGAGGGCUGUUAGAGCUAGGGUAGUAUGGUUAGGUUGUGGUUUGACUUGAUGAUCUUGAAGGUCUUUUCCAACCUGAGCAUUUAUAUGAUUUUACUGAUUCUACGGCAAAUCAGAUGCCUCAGCUCAACAUAACAUCAGCGGGAACUGGUUUGGGCUACCCCCUCCUGAAAAGAUUGGAAAUUACAGCGAGAAUGACUUCGUCCUUCAUCUGAUGACCACCAGAGGUGUUAUUUCUGCCCACGUCCUUGGACUGCAAUUAAUAUUUAUACGCUAUGCCUUUAAAUACGUUGUCGCUGCUUCUCUCGGUGUGCAUGUUUGGUGGGAACCUUCUGCCAUGCACCCAGCGCUGUAAUAAAGGGAAUACCUGCUUGUCAUACCUCACUGACGAGUCGAGUUCCUUUGUUGGUUUUCUCAGCUUCAGUUGGCGAGCCAGGCAGGAGACUCUCGGCUCAACUGUGGGAGCCUCUGAGAGGAGGAGUCCCUGGGCCCACCGGCAGCUUGUCCGGGAGGGACUCCAACUCUCAGGUGGAUCACCAUGGGAGCACACAAGAGCCUCUGGGUACAGGUAUUCCCCGCCCUUUCUCUGCUUCUAUUCCGUUCUGCUCUUUGGUGAAGUGGUGAAGGCCUCUGGGGAAAGCACUGGUGCGUCGGCUGGGGCAACACAGAGUGUGCGGCAGUGAAACUUUGUAUCGGCCCGGGAGGCAUCGGAUGGGUAAUUGAUUUCAGCAUGGGAGAGAAACCGUGAGUCUGCCGGAAAGUUGACGGGGGUAAGGCCCUGGCAUAGUGGUGGUGCUGGGGAAGACAUUUACAGGAGGGAUAAAGCAAGUCACUUGUAACACUGUACUGCCAGGCGGGGCAGUAAAUGUCUGGGCCGUGUUUCUUUUUCUUGCUUAUAGGAACUGUAUUAGUGGUUGUCACCGUCUGUCUUUGUAAUUGUUAAAGGUUCGUGUUGUAAAACUGUUACUUGUGGAAUUCCAUUCCCUGUUUAAAAUAUUCUUGUCUGGCUGGGGGACGUUGGUUAAGACUCUUGCCCAGGGAAUUUGGUGUUCCCGUGCCCCGGGGAAGGAGGUGGACUCGACUACCCAGCAAAACGCAAAGGAUUUUCACCCAACACUUAAGACUGGCCAGGGUAACCAGUUGUCAUGGAUGAGGAGUGCCUAAAGAACUUCCAAAAAGGACCACUCUGGGUUGUGUUUUGGCUCACUGAAGAAACGUCACCGAUGAGCCAGGGGGAACAGUGGAUAAGAAACCGGGAACAUAAGUGAACGUAAAUGAAGUUACAGGACCAGUUUUUGUAAUUGAGUAUUCUAAUUGUGCGAGUGAGCACUGAGUGUCCGUGGAAGCUGAAGAACUGUACUGUUUGAUUUGUGGGUUUUGAAGGGAGUGGGACAAAAUAUUUG